rnacentral:rRNA from 1 species
AACGAACGCUGGCGGCAUGCCUAACACAUGCAAGUCGAACGAGAUCUUCGGGUCUAGUGGCGCACGGGUGCGUAACGCGUGGGAAUCUGCCCUUUGGUUCGGAAUAACAGUUGGAAACGACUGCUAAUACCGGAUGAUGACGAAAGUCCAAAGAUUUAUCGCCAGAGGAUGAGCCCGCGUAGGAUUAGCUAGUUGGUGUGGUAAAGGCGGAACAAGGCGACGAUCCUUAGCUGGUCCGAGAGGACGAUCAGCCACGCUGGGACUGAGACACGGCCCCGACUCCUACGGGAGGAAGCAGUGGGUAAUAUUGGACAAUGGGCGAAAGCCUGAUCCAGCAAUGCCGCGUGAGUGAUGAAGGCCUUAGGGUUGUAAAGCUCUUGUCCCCGGGAUGAUAAUGACAGUACCGGAAGAAUAAGCUCCGGCUGACUCCGUGCCAGCAGCCGCCGUAA